rnacentral:misc_RNA from 1 species
AUUUAAAGAAGGCUACUGGCGGGUACGGGCCAGGAGCACUAAAGCCCCCGGCGGCCCCAAAGGGCGGACCCGCCAAAGCAACACGGUAUAGUAAACACAGGGUUGGAGGUCAGGCCAUGAAGACCCUAACUCGGUAAUGAUCCUUCCGCAGGUUCACCUACGGAAACCUUGUUACGACUUUUACUUCCUCUAAAUGACCAAGA